AUCAUCAUCAUCAUUUGAGGUUGUUUAUUAUUUAGCUUAUCGAUAAGGAAGAUAAUUAAACAUGGCAAUCACUGACGGAGGCGUACUUCCAUACGAGGUGAAAAAUAAGAUCAUAUCCAUCUUGAAAGCCGAAGCGCCGGAGGGCAUCCUCGUUAUAACAUUGGGGCAAAAGUAUGAAGAAGAAUACGGCAGCCAACUCAUCCCGGAGGAGUUUGGAUUUAAAACGCUUUUCGAAAUGGUCAAAUCCAUAAACUCGGGGGUUGGCGUCUUCUUCCAUGAAACGCUCCACCUCUGGGCGUGCAAGUAUGAAGAACCAGAACCAGUCUUGUCCGGAGGUUAGGGUCAGGACCAGGCUGUUUCACCUAUAUAUGAGAUAACUUUGACUUGAGGAAAGGGCCGGAUCAUCUAAAAAGAAACUACGUACGGUCGCCUCUGUAACAGUGGUGAAACAGGAUCAGGAAGCACUGUUUUUUAGUGGUGUUGGAGUGAAUAUUCUUUGGGAGGUGUCAUAAAAAUCAAUUUUUAUUCGAAAAUAUUUAAAGGUUUGUAUAAUUGUUUUUUUUAUUUAUUAAAGUUGCGAAUUAAUAAACGAAUUGCGGAGAGA